AUUGAACGCUGGCGGCAUGCCUUACACAUGCAAGUCGAACGGCAGCACGGGAGCAAUCCUGGUGGCGAGUGGCGAACGGGUGAGUAAUAUAUCGGAACGUGCCCAGUCGUGGGGAUAACGUAGCGAAAGCUACGCUAAUACCGCAUACGAUCUAUGGAUGAAAGCGGGGGAUCGCAAGACCUCGCGCGAUUGGAGCGGCCGAUAUCAGAUUAGGUAGUUGGUGGGGUAAAGGCUCACCAAGCCAACGAUCUGUAGCUGGUCUGAGAGGACGACCAGCCACACUGGAACUGAGACACGGUCCAGACUCCUACGGGAGGCAGCAGUGGGGAAUAUUGGACAAUGGGCGCAAGCCUGAUCCAGCCAUGCCGCGUGCAGGAUGAAGGCCUUCGGGUU
rnacentral:rRNA from 1 species